GAUAAGAACGUAGCGAAAUGCGAUAAUUAAUGUGAAUUGCAGAAUUCCGUGAAUCAUCGAGUUUUUGAACGCAUAUUGCGCCCCUUGGUAUUCCGAGGGGCAUGCCUGUCCGAGCGUCAUUGCAACCCUUCAAGCACGGCUUGUGUGUUGGACGGCCGCCCCAGUGUGGGCGGGUCCCAAAUGCAGUGGCGGCGCCGCGAUCCGGGUGCUCGAGUGCAUGGAAACCACGCGCUCGUUAGGCCCCGUCGGGCGCCGGCCGACCUAAUUAUCUUCGUUCUGGUUGACCUCGGAUCAGGUAGGAAUACCCGCUGAACUUAAGCAUAUCAAUAAGCGGAGGA
rnacentral:misc_RNA from 1 species